rnacentral:lncRNA from 12 species
GCCUGUUUUAAUUUUUUCACUCAAGUACACACACAGUCAUAUAAUCACACACAAAGCGUGAUCAGCUGAAAGCCACGGCGUACAGAUUGCAGACCAUCUGCUCACUUAUUCUCUGAAUAUCAAAGUUGAGGGCUGCAUCUUCAGACCACGCUUAAAACUGUGAAAACUGCAUUUCAUUUAAAAUAUCCCACCAUCAAACCUUUAUGAACGCUGCAUAAGAGCAAAGACAUUGUGCAAUGCAUUUUGAUCAAUAUUACUAUUGGUGCACAAUAAACAUUAUAAAUUUGCAUUCAAGGAGACUACGAGACUAUGCCAGCACAGACUUGGCAUUGCGCCUGUUUACUGCUUUACCUUAUAAAUAGAGUGGCAGUGUUUGGAAACAGGCUUGUCUCUCUGUUUCACAGUGUACUGGAUUUUACAGUAAACGUCAUCAUAGGCACUGGAAAGCAGCAGACACACAGGCCAGUCCUGAUGGCAGGCGCUUGGGGGUCAGCCUGCACUGGACUCCGGCUCUAGCAGCCCACUGGGCCCUCACUUCAACUCUAAACAUUUCACAGGUCAGUGAGCAGAGAUAUACUCCAUGCACUCACACACUAUCUGAAAUUCAUUUUUUAACAAAAAAAAAAAAUUAGUAAUGUUAUUCAGCAACAAUGCUUUAAAUUGAUCAAAAGUGGCAGUAUGGACUUUUCAUCACCUCGUCUCAAUUUGUAACUAUUUUAUGUUUUGGUAAAUUGGUGGGUAAUUCGUAUGAGUUCAUUAAAUCUCUUUCAUAUGUUUCUAUACGAUCUGCUUACGCCCCACUGAUGGUCAUGUUUUUAGGGUUGGGGUUAGGGGUCAACCUUCAUUACAAAAAGUACAUUUACACAGCAAAGAUGUACUAAAGACUAAAGACUUUUCCUUCACACUUUUUAAAAUGUUCUGCAUACAGACAACAAUGUUGUCAAAGUGAUUGUAAUUUUCAACGAUCCGUGAAAUUGACUAAAAUUGCUGUAUUAUGCAUGCCAGGCCAGUAGUUGGCGAUGUCACACUACCCAUCUGGGCACACUUAACAUGCAUGUGCAUGACAUUACCGUUUUCACAAAUUUGCAUUUUUGUAGCAUGCAGUUGAUGAUGGUAUAAUUUUCAAAAACUUCCACUUUGAAACCCAUUUUCGAAAGCUUGAAACACCCCUUUAUAAAUUAUGUUUUUCAUGUGUUUUCGUGUGAUUACAAAUUCAUACAAGAUUGACUUUGUAAAAUAGUUACAUUUCCCAUGAAACUGGGUUGGACACCUACAUUCUUACAGAAAUUUCUGUUUGAAAUAUACUAGAUGAAAUAUUCUGUUUCUAUUAAUCAAAUAAUCCUGAAAUGUAUCAGUGUAUCAUUGUUUUCAACAGAAAAUGUUAUAUUAGAAUGAUUUCUGAAGGAUCAUGUGACACUGAAGACUGGAGCAAUGACGCUGAAAAUUCAGCUUUGAUCACAGAAAUAAAUUACAUUAAAAUAUAUUCAAAUUGAAAACUGUUGUUUUAAAUUGUAAUAAUAUAUCUAGAUUAUUAUUAUUACACUAUACUUAAAAGAGGCUUAAUUUUCUAUAACCAUUUUUUUUUCCUCUCGAUUUUUGGUUGAAAUAUGCCCUGGACAUGUUUUCGACAGCUUUUGUGAAAUUCAUACAGAUGUCAGAUUCUUCAUGCGUAGCUCAGUAAUAUCUUCCAUAUGAACAGUUUUUUUUUCCUGCUGCCAUUUUAAACAGUCAGGCCACCUUACUGACAGAAAGCAAACUGUUUCUAAAAACUUGACAGAUGCACAUUUCCAUGUCUUCUUAUCUUAAAUGUCUCUU